UGCGCAGGCGGGAGGAUAGGUCGGAUGUGAAAACCCCGGGCUCAACCCGGGGCCUGCAUCCGAAACCAUUCUUCUUGAGUAUCGGAGAGGGAAGCGGAACUCCAGGUGUAGCGGUGAAAUGCGUAGAUAUCUGGGGGAACACCGGUGGCGAAGGCGGCUUCCUGGACGAAUACUGACGCUCAUGCACGAAGGCUAGGGGAGCAAACA
rnacentral:rRNA from 1 species